GAUGAACGCUGGCGGCGUGCCUAAUACAUGCAAGUCGAGCGAACAGACGAGGAGCUUGCUCCUCUGACGUUAGCGGCGGACGGGUUAGUAACACGUGGAUAACCUACAUAUAAGACUGGGAUAACUUCGGGAAACCGGAGCUAAUACCGGAUAAUAUAUUUAACCUCAUGGUUCAAUAGUGAAAGACGGUUUUGCUGUCACUUAUAGAUGGAUCCGCGCCGCAUUAGCUAGUUGGUAAGGUAACGGCUUACCAAGGCAACGAUGCGUAGCCGACCUGAGAGGGUGAUCGGACACACUGGAACUGAGACACGGUCCAGACUCCUACGGGAGGCAGCAGUAGGGAAUCUUCCGCAAUGGGCGAAAGCCUGACGGAGCAACGCCGCGUGAGUGAUGAAGGUCUUCGGAUCGUAAAACUCUGUUAUUAGGGAAGAACAAAUGUGUAAGUAACUAUGCACGUCUUGACGGUACCUAAUCAGAAAGCCACGGCUAACUACGUG
rnacentral:rRNA from 1 species